GCGCCGGUGGUGUAAAGGCGUAGAGCAUUCCCGCCCGGUCAGAGGGAGGUGCGGGUUCGAGUCCCGCCCGGCGCU
rnacentral:tRNA from 1 species